rnacentral:rRNA from 1 species
UACAGGGGGGGGCAAGCGUUGUUCGGAAUUACUGGGCGUAAAGGGCGCGUAGGCGGCCUGCUAAGUCGGAUGUGAAAUCCCUCGGCUCAACCGAGGAACUGCAUCCGAUACUGGCGGGCUUGAAUCCGGGAGAGGGAUGUGGAAUUCCAGGUGUAGCGGUGAAAUGCGUAGAUAUCUGGAGGAACACCGGUGGCGAAGGCGGCAUCCUGGACCGGUAUUGACGCUGAGGCGCGAAAGCUAGGGGAGCAAACGGG